GGGGAGUGAGACUCAACUUAGCUCAAGAACCGCCGGCGGGGUCUGGGUUGGGUCUAGGGGAAAAGGGGAAAAUUACUAGGUUAGGUGGCCUCGUCGCGUCGCCGUAUGGUGAUGUUUCAUCGUCGUCUUCUUCUUCGAGCUCCCUCACUGACGGUCACGGUGUCGUUCUGGUCGUUCUCUCCCUCCCUCGCCCCCCUCGGUACCCCAGGGGCUUCCGCCGGUCCUCGUUCCGCCCGGUCGACCCGCCGUAGACCGCGGCGUCCCAGCCGCGCGGGAAGCGGCGGGAGGAGCAGCGCCGGCAGGAGCAGGAGCAGGAGAAGUGGCCGGCGAAGGGCGUCCCGGGGCUGCGAAGGAGCGCCAAGUGGGGCCAUGUACACCUGCUGAGGUGGGGGGCCUGCCACGCGCUGGCCGGCCAGAGGAGGUGCCUGGUUCUGAACCUCUGUAGACUAAGGAGUUUCGUUCUUCCCCUCUGCAGACUAAGCAGUUUCGUUCUUCUCCUCCCCUCACUGGUUUUUUAACUCGAACUACUUAGAAGGUACCUCCGUUACCUUCUCGUCUUUGUCGGAGGUCUCCUGUGAGGACUCUGGUUUGGUCGUAGAGUUCCGUGAUGAGGUCGGUUGAGGCUGAACCUGCCGCUCCCUCCCUACCGCUGGUGCUGGCGCGGCCUGGUUCUUCUUUCCUUACGUCCUCCUAGACCAAGUCGUGGUAUAUGGUUCACGUGUGGAGGUGGCUUGAGCUGCCAGACGCUGGAGAGGUUGAGUGCGAAGCUGUAGACACUCAACACGCCGCUACGAGCGUGGUAACCAGUCAGCAGGUGACAGUACAUACAGGGUGUGUGUGUUUGAAGGCUGCCACUUCUCACCUCAUAAGCUCGGGUCAGAGCCUUCUUGGAAGGGACCCAGUUCUUCCACUGACAGUUUAGAGACUUAUGGAGCGUUGGUCGUGGUUCCACGUGGAGGUUCAUACGGUACGGUCGGUAACAUAAACGGGAACCACCCGAGUGUCGUUUACACACCGUGCUGAAGUCACUACAGGAACAAGGUGACAAGGAGUGACGGGCGGUCAAGCUGUCCCUACAAGUUGAGGAACACUGUUUGUUGGUUGGGACCAAGUCGUUCUUCAUGUACUGUUAGGACUCGUUUGAGUGUGCUGUGCUGUAGUAUCUAAAACUAAGUCUGCUGGUCCAGUCCACGAUAGGCGUACAGUAACAACCAGACUCCUCGGUACCACUGGAACCGUAGAUAGGUUUGGACAGUGGUGUCUUGAUGUGUUACUACCUGAAGGCCAACAAACAGGCCCCUCGGAUACCAGACGGACGUCGGUUCCACCGGUAAGGGAUGUUCCGACUAUCUCUACUAGGACUGUUCUUCGGGGCGUAUUACGAUUAACUAGCCCCGUUUUGGGCCUCCAAGUAGUUGCGUGGCAUGUAACAGGUUCCCGACCUUACCAAACCAAAACUCCACCAGUUCCAACUGGGCUUCUACCUGAGAUCAGAACUACUUAAGCGGGCGGAACAACUGAGCACGCUACGUUAGUACCCGCGCGUACCGCGCCCGAACUGAUUGUACCACAAGGACGCUAGUCCCCCUCACCACCACGUGUAACACGGCAUACCCUAACUUAAGUACCGACUACCCAAGAUACCUUUUGGCCGUGCCCUGUACCCGGAUCCGGUACAGUCCAUGUCGUAGUCAGGUCUCCUCUCGUGCAACGACCUCUUUAUACCCACCUUGGUAUGACACUAGUUUCUGGGGUUUCGGUAAUCCUCGUCACCUACCCUGUUCCAACCCCUCCAAAUGUACAGGUUCGUCCUGUAACAGGAAUUGUACUGUUCCAAACCCGGACAAAACGACUUCCGUUAUCUAAAAUAGUACAUCCACAUACCCUAAAACCGACGGACAUAGCGAAAUACGUCUCCGACCCCAAUCCAAAACUUUAACAACAAAAACAAUCGAUGUUGUAAAACUGUCAAAAAUGAUCUUUUUCUAUGAAGUGUGAAGUUAACAAAACCCUCUACCACAAAUGACAAGUAGAUCUCGACUACAUAUCCUAACCUACACGUUCUGGAUUAUUUAAUACUACACCUCACGACUCGAGUCAAAAUACAAUGUUAGAACAGGACAAGUAGACAUCAGUAUACAAGCGUCACACUUUACUACACG
rnacentral:rRNA from 1 species